GCGUUAUACUGAUAAAGAAAUAAUCGAAAUUAAAAUAAAUUCAGUCCCAAAAAAACACAAGAGCUUGUGUAAAAAUACUAGAACAAUUAUUCGCCUCAGGCUCGGUGAUUAUCGGGGACUAUGCACCUUGACUUUGUCUUAGUGCCGUAGCCAGAACGAUAUUUGGGGGGGGGGGUGGUGGCACAUAUUUCAUAUAUUCGUGUUCUGCUUUAUUAAUUUCUUUUGAAAUCAAUUGUUUUUAUGGUAUGUGAACACGAAUAAAUGAAUAUGUGUCCCCCCAAUUAUCUUUCUGGCUACGGCAAAUAUCGGCGAAUAUUCCCCGAUAAUCACCUCGCCUUCGGCGAACAAUUUGUUAAGUACUAUUUAAAACACGAGAAAGAGUGUUUAUUAUUUAAAACGCGAGGCGCAGUCGAGCGUUGUAGAUAUGAUAAAACACUCCUCGUGUUUUAAAUAGCUUAAAAUAAGACUACAAAAGAAUACUAAUUAGGAUGAGUUUUAUAUAAAGAAUACUAAUGAAGAUAAGUUUUAUGUAAAGAAUACUAAUCAAGAUGAGUUUUAUCAGGUAUACUGUAAAGUCACUACACGUGACAUAUUAUGGCUGACAUGAUUUGCCACAAGGUUUAUGAAUUUUUAAUGAGUAUUUUAAGUACUAUUUAAAGCACGCGUAUGAGUGUUUUAUCACAUAUAAAACACGACUUCACGUGCUUUAAAUGGCUUAAAAAACUACUCAUCUUAUAUACGAGUUCAUUGGCAAAGUGAUUUUUAAAAUAAACUUUGUCUAAACCGAGAAAAUCAAAGCUAAAGUUUAUAUGUAAAUUAACAUGAUUUUUUAUCACAAAUAAAACGACGACACGCUUAUGAUUUGUCUUUGUGUUUUGCUCCUGAAUUAUUAAUGAGUUUUUAAGUACUAUUUAAAAUACUCAUUAAAAAUUCAUAAACCUUGUGACAAAUAAUGUCAGUCAUAAUAUGUCACGUGGAGUGACUUUAUAUCUGAUAAAACUCAUCUUCAUUAGUGUUCUUUAUAUAAGACUUCAUCCUAAUUAGUAUUCUUUAUAUAAAACUCAUCCUAAUUAGUAUUUUUUUUGUGGUCGUAUUUUAAGCUAUUUAAAACACGAGGAGUGUUUUAUCAUAUCUAAAACUCUCGGCUGCGCCUCGCGUUUUAAAUAUGAUAAAACACUCCUUCUCGUGUUUUAAAUAGUACGCAAAAUAACAUGAUAUUGCUUUUCAUGUAUAAUAAUAGACACAAGAAGUGAUUCUACAUAUAACCAGUUUGAGCGCCGGGGGGCGCUAUAGCCAUCUAUAGAGGUCUGGGGGCUUGCUCCACGGCCUGGAAAAAAGUAUAUAUACAUUGCUUGCAAAAAGUAUACAGCUAUCUCAAUUGAGGUUGUCCACGAGCAAAGCGGAAAAGUCGAAAACGAGCGCGAAAAGCUGCUGGGAAUAACUUUGAAAAUUUAUUAAGUUGUUAACGAUUCCCAGCAGCUUUUCGCGCUCGUAUUCGACAUUUCCGCUUUGCUCGCAUGGACAACCUUAAUUGAAAUAGCUGUAUGCUGUAUAAGACAUUUAAGAGUGAAUGUCAGUAAAAAUCGAACAUAUGAGACAUUGCGCGGCCACGACUGAAAAAUCGAUUUUGCUCAAA
rnacentral:lncRNA from 1 species